GGGUGAGUAACACGUGACCAACCUGCCCCUUGCUCCGGGACAACCGCUGGAAACGGCGGCUAAUACCGGAUACUCCGCGGGCCCGCAUGGGGCCGGCGGGAAAGCCCCGACGGCAAGGGAUGGGGUCGCGGCCCAUUAGGUAGUAGGCGGGGUAACGGCCCACCUAGCCCGCGAUGGGUAGCCGGCCUGAGAGGGCGAUCGGCCACAUUGGGACUGAGAUACGGCCCAGACUCCUACGGGAGGCAGCAGUGGGGAAUUUUGCGCAAUGGGGGAAACCCUGACGCAGCAACGCCGCGUGCGGGAUGACGACCCUCGGGUUGUAAACCGCUUUCAGCAGGGAAGAUAUUGACGGUACCUGCAGAAGAAGCUCCGGCUAACUACGUGCCAGCAGCCGCGGUAAUACGUAGGGAGCGAGCGUUAUCCGGAUUCAUUGGGCGUAAAGCGCGCGUAGGCGGCUGCCUAAGCGGAACCUCUAACCCCGGGGCUCAACCUCGGGCCGGGUUCCGAACUGGGCGGCUCGAGUGCGGUAGAGGAGAGCGGAAUUCCCGGUGUAGCGGUGGAAUGCGCAGAUAUCGGGAAGAACACCGAUGGCGAAGGCAGCUCUCUGGGCCGGCACUGACGCUGAGGCGCGAAAGCUGGGGGAGCGAACAGGAUUAGAUAUCCUGGUAGUCCCAGCCGUAA
rnacentral:rRNA from 1 species